rnacentral:rRNA from 1 species
UACGUAGGGGGCAAGCGUUAUCCGGAUUCAUUGGGCGUAAAGAGCGCGUAGGCGGACUGUUAAGUCAGAUGUGAAAACCGGGGGCUCAACCCGCGGCCUGCAUCUGAAACUGGCAGUCUUGAGUCUGGUAGAGGAAAGUGGAAUUCCUGGUGUAGCGGUGAAAUGCGCAGAUAUCAGGAGGAACACCAGUGGCGAAGGCGGCUUUCUGGGCCACGACUGACGCUGAGGCGCGAAAGCUAGGGGAGCGAACAGG